AGAGCGAACGCUGGCGGCAGGCCUAACACAUGCAGGUCGAGCGCCCCGCAAGGGGAGCGGCAGACGGGAGAGUAACACGUGGGAACGUACCCUUUGGUUCGGAACAACACAGGGAAACUUGUGCUAAUACCGGAUAAGCCCUUACGGGGAAAGAUUUAUCGCCAAAGGAUCGGCCCGCGUCUGAUUAGCUUGUUGGUGAGGUAACGGCUCACCAAGGCUACGAUCAGUAGCUGGUCUGAGAGGAUGAUCAGCCUCACUGGGACCGAGACACGGCCCAGACUCCUACGGGAGGCAGCAGUGGGGAAUAUUGGACAAUGGGCGCAAGCCUGAUCCAGCCAUGCCGCGUGGAUGAUGAAGGCCCUAGGGUUGUAAAGUCCUUUCGACGGGGAAGAUAAUGACGGUACCGUAGAAGAAGCCCCGGCUAACUUCGUGCCAGCAGCCGC
rnacentral:rRNA from 1 species